CAGGUGCUGCAUGGCUGUCGUCAGCUCGUGUCGUGAGAUGUGGGUUAAGUCCCGCAACGAGCGCAACCCUUGCCUUUAGUUGCCAGCAGUUCGGCUGGGCACUCUAAAGGGGACUGCCGGUGUUAAACCGGAGGAAGGUGGGGAUGACGUCAAGUCCUCAUGGCCUUUAUGACCAGGGCUACACACGUACUACAAUGGCCGAUCAAAGGGCAGCGACACUGCGAGGUGAAGCCAAUCCCGUAAAAUCGGUCUCAGUCCGGAUUGGAGUCUGCAACUCGACUCCAUGAAGUUGGAAUCGCUAGUAAUCGUGGAUCAGCAUGCCACGGUGAAUACGUUCCCGGGCCUU
rnacentral:rRNA from 1 species